CAUUUCAGUCUCCAUUCAAAACAAAAAUCAAGUUUGCUUCUUCCACUUCAAUCCUUUACAAAUUCAACAAUUUCAGAAUUUCCAUUUGCAAAAACAAGAGACCAAUUCCACUUCUUUUUCUCUCUUCUCUGAUUCAAGCAAUCAAUCACCACCAUCACUGAAACCACCGUGACAACCACCGUCCACCACCACCAUUAUCUGCUGCCCAGCACCACCAUCUCAACCACGCACCAACCACCAUCCCCUCCGCCCUCUUCGCUCUCCCCUGUCCCUCUUUGCUCACUCCCCUGCUCUUCCCUCUCACGCACACCUCUGCCUCCCUCUUUCUUCGCCGCUGCCGCACCACCCAGCCACGAAACCACCACACCCAGGCCACCGCACCACUUUCUAUACCCACCUCCGCCUCACAAGACCCGGCAGCUGCUGCUGCGCCGCCCAGAAUCGACCGGGAAACACCCCUCCCCUGUUUCUCUCCCCUGUCUCGCCCUGUUCGUGCUCCCCCUUCCUUUCUCUCGCUGUCGCAGCACCCACAACCACCAUCACCGGCGCACUUUCGCGCCUCCGUAUCGCCCAGGCAUCAGCCAUCCAGCCGCCACCUCCCUUCUCUCCGCCCUUCCUCUUCGUCCGUCCCCUGUUCCUUCGUGUUCUGUUUCCCUCAAAGGAAACGAGUUCCAGUAAUUGGAACUUUGUUUUGUUGCUCAAGUUAAGCCCACAUUCCCUUGGCCCAAAUUCCCAAAAAAUCGAACUCGGAGCUCAGGAAUAACGAUCCAUCGAACAGGAAGUAUAAACUACGGUUGAGGUACGAAGAAGAUCAUGGGAUGCCUUAGAGUGAGGAUGCAACCAUCAAAUUCACGAUCGAUGUUUAGUAGAGACAAUUAUGUCAUUAGUAAUAAAGGGAUGUAUUAAUUAAACUCUAAGUUUGAUCUCAUGAUUUGAGUUAGAUUUUAAUACUAAUAUUAACCAAAUGCUAAAAGUAUUUAUUAUUAAAGUUUAUUUAGUAAUUGAAAAAGGUUAUGUCGCCUUGUAUUUUCCACGAGGGAAAUACGGCAAGUGACGCUCCGACUAAAUUAGGGUUUCCGCUGCAAAUUAAAGAUAAUUAACCUAAUUAAUGGUGUUUAGAAGUCGGGGCGUUACAUUAUAUGUUUAGAAUCAAUUUUUCCUAAUAUAUUUUGGAUUAAUAAAGAUUAUCAUGAUUUAGUAAAGUAAUUACUAACUAGUAUUUGAGACCAAA